CCCCUAAUGGAAGAGUUGCCACCGGAUCCCAUAAGAACUUCGGAGUUAAGCGUGUCGGGUGGGAGUAGUCACCGGAUGGGUGACCUCCCUGGGAAGUCCCCAAGGUACGUGUUA
rnacentral:rRNA from 1 species